CGGGGUGGCCGUGCGCGCCUGUCCGGUUCCGGUGACGGCGGAGCGGCCCGAGCCUUUGGAGAAACGUGAACUAGGGAAUACCGUGGGCACCUUGCCCUCUGUAAGGGAGUCUCUCAGAAGUGGAACACUUGAUAUUCCAUACUAGGCAAGAUGAUGGGGUAUAAAGAAGAUGAAGAUGACAUACUUCUGGAUUGGUGGCCUUUUUUCUUUUGGAUGGACUUAUGAUCUGCACCCCUAACUCAGCGCUCUGAUUUUUGCCUUGAAUUGGUGAACUGUGCUUGUAUACGUGACUUGGUUGAAAUGCGGACUGCGCUGCCAAGCCGGUAACUCAGGUGGUUAGCCCUUGAAAUGUGGCUCGUCUGAAUUGAGAUGUGCUGUGAGUAUAAAAUACACACCAAGUUCUGAAGACUUGGUUCGACAAGGAGUGUAAAAUAUCUCAUUAAUAUAUUUGUAGUGAUUAUACUGAAUGAUGAUAAUUUGGAUAUUUUGUGUUAAAUAAAAUACAUUACUAAAGUUAA